GUGCAGCGUGAGCUUGGGUUUCUGUCUGGUCCCUGGCCCCUUUCUCUCUGGCUCGUCCUCACCCACCGUUUUUAGGCUGCCGUGAGGUGAGCAAUGUUCUCCACCGUGCCCUUCACCAUGAUGCUUCUGCCUUGGAUCCUGCUCUCCAUGGACUGAAACCAUGUUGUUUAUGUCAGUGUGAAUCCAGGUGAACAUCCAGAUCUCAGCUGUACUGACUUAUAACCAACCCUCCCUCGGGAACUAAUGGAGUUCUUAACAAGAAAUUCAGGAGAAGUGAAAGGAAAAUUAUACUAGAAGAAAACAGAUAAAUCCUUUAAGUGGGACAAUCUUCAAG
rnacentral:lncRNA from 1 species